rnacentral:misc_RNA from 1 species
GAUUAUUGUAUCCUUAUGGUCAUGAAGAACUUGCCGUCUCUGAGGACUUUGACCAGGUUCGUGGGGUGCUAGAGAAGUACCCUCCUUAUCAGUCAAUUUUUGCUAAAUUAUCUUAUGGAGAAAGCCAGAUGUUGGACAAGGCAUUCUACGAGGAGGAGGUGAAAAGGCUCUGUUUGGCAUUUGAGCAACAGUUCCAUUAUGGGGUUUUCUUUGCAUACAUGAGGCUGAGAGAGCAGGAAAUUCGGAACUUGAUGUGGAUCUCCGAAUGUGUUGCACAAAAUCAGAAGUCUCGAGUCCAUGACAGUGUGGUCUUCAUUUUCUAAAUGGUUCAGCGAGGAACAGUCAUUCAAUUUGCUUGUAAGUUUUUUAUCCUCCUGCUUUGAUCAUAUUAUGACACGUUCAUAAGUUUGAUUUUAUAUUUGACUCA